UACGUAGGGUGCAAGCGUUGUCCGGAAUUAUUGGGCGUAAAGAGCUCGUAGGCGGCUUGUCACGUCUGCUGUGAAAACUCGGGGGCUCAACCCCGAGCCUGCAGUGGAUACGGGCUAGCUAGAGUGCGGUAGGGGAGACUGGAAUUCCUGGUGUAGGCGGUGAAAUGCGCAGAUAUCAGGAGGAACACCGGUGGCGGAAGGCGGGUCUCUGGACCGAUACUGACGCUGAGGAGCGAAAGCGUGGGGAGCGAACAGG
rnacentral:rRNA from 1 species